rnacentral:rRNA from 1 species
GUGGGGAAUAUUGGACAAUGGGGGAAACCCUGAUCCAGCAAUGCCGCGUGAGUGAUGAAGGCCUUCGGGUUGUAAAGCUCUUUUAUCAGGGAAGAUAAUGACGGUACCUGAUGAAUAAGCUCCGGCUAACUUCGUGCCAGCAGCCGCGGUAAUACGAAGGGAGCUAGCGUUGUUCGGAAUUACUGGGCGUAAAGGGCGCGUAGGCGGCCUUGUAAGUUAGAUGUGAAAGCCCCGGGCUUAACCUGGGAACUGCAUUUAAGACUGCAAAGCUAGAGGACGAGAGAGGAAAGUGGAAUUAUGAGUGUAGAGGUGAAAUUCGUAGAUAUUCAUAAGAACACCAGUGGCGAAGGCGACUUUCUGGCUCGUAUCUGACGCUAAGGCGCGAAAGCGUGGGGAGCAAACAGGAUUAGAAACCCUGGUAGUCC